UACGUCGGGGGCAAGCGUUGUCCGGAUUUAUUGGGCGUAAAGAGCGUGUAGGCGGUUAGGUAGGUCCGUUGUGAAAACUCGAGGCUCAACCUCGAGACGCCGAUGGAAACCCCCUAACUAGAGUCCGGAAGAGGAGAGUGGAACUCCUGGUGUAGCGGUGAAAUGCGCAGAUAUCAGGAGGAACACCGGUGGCGAAGGCGGAUCUCUGGGCCUUGCCUGACGCUGAGGCGCGAAAGCUAGGGGAGCGAACAGG
rnacentral:rRNA from 1 species